GACGAACGCUGGCGGCGUGCUUAACACAUGCAAGUCGAACGAUGAAGCCUAGCUUGCUAGGUGGAUUAGUGGCGAACGGGUGAGUAAUACGUGAGUGACCUACCUUUGACUCUGGGAUAAGCCUGGGAAACUGGGUCUAAUACCGGAUACGACCAAUCUCCGCAUGGGGUGUUGGUGGAAAGCGUUAUGGAGUGGUUUUAGAUGGGCUCACGGCCUAUCAGCUUGUUGGUGAGGUAAUGGCUUACCAAGGCGACGACGGGUAGCCGGCCUGAGAGGGUGACCGGCCACACUGGGACUGAGACACGGCCCAGACUCCUACGGGAGGCAGCAGUGGGGAAUAUUGCACAAUGGGCGCAAGCCUGAUGCAGCGACGCCGCGUGAGGGAUGACGGCCUUCGGGUUGUAAACCUCUGUUAGCAUCGAAGAAGCG
rnacentral:rRNA from 1 species